rnacentral:rRNA from 1 species
GACGAACGCUGGCGGCGUGCCUAAUACAUGCAAGUAGAACGCUGAAGGAGGAGCUUGCUUCUCUGGAUGAGUUGCGAACGGGUGAGUAACGCGUAGGUAACCUGCCUGGUAGCGGGGGAUAACUAUUGGAAACGAUAGCUAAUACCGCAUAAUAGUAGAUGUUGCAUGACAUUUGCUUAAAAGGUGCAAUUGCAUCACUACCAGAUGGACCUGCGUUGUAUUAGCUAGUUGGUGGGGUAACGGCUCACCAAGGCGACGAUACAUAGCCGACCUGAGAGGGUGAUCGGCCACACUGGGACUGAGACACGGCCCAGACCCCUACGGGAGGCAGCAGUAGGGAAUCUUCGGCAAUGGACGGAAGUCUGACCGAGCAACGCCGCGUGAGUGAAGAAGGUUUUCGGAUCGUAAAGCUCUGUUGUAAGAGAAGAACGAGUGUGAGAGUGGAAAGUUCACACUGUGACGGUAUCUUACCAGAAAGGGACGGCUAACUACGUGCCAGCAGCCGCGGUAAUACGUAGGUCCCGAGCGUUGUCCGGAUUUAUUGGGCGUAAAGCGAGCGCAGGCGGUUAGAUAAGUCUGAAGUUAAAGGCUGUGGCUUAACCAUAGUACGCUUUGGAAACUGUUUAACUUGAGUGCAAGAGGGGAGAGUGGAAUUCCAUGUGUAGCGGUGAAAUGCGUAGAUAUACGGAGGAACACCGGUGGCGAAAGCGGCUCUCUGGCUUGUAACUGACGCUGAGGCUCGAAAGCGUGGGGAGCAAACAGG